rnacentral:rRNA from 1 species
UACGGAAGGUCCGGGCGUUAUCCGGAUUUAUUGGGUUUAAAGGGAGUGUAGGCGGCCUGUUAAGCGUGUUGUGAAAUGUAGAUGCUCAACAUCUGAACUGCAGCGCGAACUGGCUGGCUUGAGUACACGCAACGUGGGCGGAAUUCGUGGCGUAGCGGUGAAAUGCUUAGAUAUCAUGAGGAACUCCUAUUGCGAAGGCAGCUCACGGGAGUGUCACCGACGCUUAAGCUCGAAGGUGCGGGUAUCAAAC